rnacentral:misc_RNA from 1 species
AAAGGCUUAGUUGAGUUGAGUAGCAUCAUAAUCUUCUUCUAUACCAUCAUCCUCUUGAUAUUCAUAUUUAAAAUCAAUAUCUUCAUCAUCUUCCUCAUCUUAAGAAUUAAAAAAGUAUUAGUUCUCAAGUUAGUAAAUAAUGUUUUUCCUUUUUCCUUUGGCACAGAUCUUAAAAUAGGUGUGGAUGUAAUAUUUUUUUUGAAAAUGAUAAUAAGAGAGUGGUAGUGUUGAAAACGGAAAUAUGAGAGGUUUGCAAUCUUAGGGGUGCUGGUUUGAUGAAAUUGACCAGUAAUAUUAAUUCUAGUAGAUCAGCAAAUUUCGAGUUGAAUGGUAAUACUUUUUGCCUACUCACAAAAGGUGGAAAUAAAGAAAGUGUGCCUUGAUAGAGUCUUGCGCCUAGAACAAAGUGCAUGGAGCUUGGUGAGCAUUGAGCUUGAGGCUUGCCUAAGGCACACCUUUAGAAAGAACAAUACAAUGGGUUCAAAAGACUAUCCUCCCAUUUGGCAAUUUUUGGGACUAACAUAACUUGUAGUUGAGAAGAUCAUGUUGAUUUUGUCCAUUAAGAAAUUCCAUGAACGAAAUUCAGCUUAAGGACUAACACUCUGGUUUUUGGAAGGUUUAGAACUUGAUUGAAAUGAAUAAAAGGUUUAGACUUUGCAGGCAGUUAUCCCUAAAUCUCACAAGCAACACUACCAUGACAAAAUUUUAAAAUCUAAGCACAACCCAAAAAUUACACUGAGAAUGCCCUCCAAACCAAAUACAAUCCAGAAAAAAUACAGAAAGGUGAAGGCUUUUGAAAUGCAAACUUUGAAUCUAACUAGGUAGCUUUACUUGAAGUGAUGUCUUGAAACAUUUAUUCAUGAAAAAGAUAAUAUGAAUAACAUGUUCUACUUUUUCCUCUCCAUUUUUUCUUUUUGAAGUCACACAUGUCACGUCUGGCAUGCAUAUUUGGCAAAUUCUACUGCAAAUUCAUAUUCAGGACCAAGGAAUCAUAGCACAAUAAUUCACCAUUACACAAAACUCAACUUGAGCAAACUAAAAGGGAAAUGAACCAACCUUUUGUUUUUAAAGACAAUAAAAGAAUAAAUAGAAUAAGAGAUGACUGUAAGUGACUCAAGUAUUUGGGAAACAGAAUCACGCUGUCACGUUGCAGAAUGUUAUAUGCCAUAUCUAACUUCAUCGUUUGCAUUACCCAUUGUAGUGAAAAAUGCGACCUUAGAUAAACAAGGGCCAGAGCAGAUAAAAAGCUAUCAGAAUUCAGUUAAGGAGCACCAUGGCAUCACCAUAACCCUUUACUUCACAAAACAGUUAUGACCGUUUUUCAAUUGCAAACAGUCAAAUUAAAUAACCACUAUAAAGAUCAACAUAUUGAUAUAAAUGAAUUGCAAAUUCUACAUAAAACAUAACCAACUUAUUUCAUGGCCUCACUCUAGAAUGACAUCAAUAACUUUCAAUCUUUGAAGACAAUUAUCCAGGUUACCUCAUAUGUCAUGUUACGUAUAGCGGGUGCCCACUCUUCUGCAAUACUUUUCUUGAUAAGAUCUGGGUCUGCUGUAGGAGGCAAUCGAAGAUCAAACCCUGCUUCUGCCUCUGAAGGUUGCAUAUUCAUGACAAAUCCAGUAGGGGAAGGAAUCCCAGCUUUCAAGUAUACUGGAUUAAUUGAAAUAACCUCCGAAUUGGCUGCUUUCCCAGCCUUAACAACAUCGAACUGACUUUCCCUAAAGCUACUAAUAAUCUCUACACUCUUCAUUAAAUUCUCCAUUGCCCCAUUAUCGUACAUUCUCGAACCAUGCCCAGGUUCCCCUUUUGCCCUUAUUAUGAGAUUCCACGGCGACCUAUCGGCAAAGAACAAUCUGAACUCGUCAUUCACUGAGGCCUGCCCUUCAUCCAAAGCGAAACCAACAUUCAGAUCUCGAAAUUCCUUAGAAUUAACAAACUUGGCUGCCCCAUCAAUUCCGCCAAUCUCCUCGUCGGGGACAUAUGAAAUGUGGAUUGUGCGAGUAGGGAUAAAGUUUUUGGCUUUCAAGUUGCGGAUGGCUUCCAUAUACUGGAUAGCUAUGCACUUGUCGUCCUGUGCUCCGCGAGCGAAGAUUUUCCCGUCAGGUGUACGGACGGCGGAGAAAGGCGGGUGAAACCAUUUAGCGGGUUCAGCGGGGACAGAGUCAAGGUGGGAAUUAAAGAGAAUUGAAGGGAGAGAUGGUUUAUUGCCUGGCCAGGUUACGAGGAGGACAGGCUUGUUAGGAGUGAAUUCUAAGGAUUGAGUAACGAGACCAAUGGAUUGGGCAAGGGAGGUGAGGAAAGAGACGGGGGCAGUGUAGUUGGGGUCGGGAUGGGCGGUUUUCAAUCUGAGGUAUUGCUGAAAGCGAGUGAUGGGGGUCUCUAGCUCUUCUCGAUCAUUGGACGAUGAUGGAGAUGCAUAUAAGAAGAGGAUAAGACCGAGAAGUGUGAGCAAAAGGAGGAAGAGCUCGGAGUUGGUCAUGGAGGCGCCGAGAGAGUAAGCAAGAUCCCGCAACAAGAACAGCUUCAGAGUUCAGAGUUCAG